rnacentral:lncRNA from 1 species
GGCAGGGUCCUCAGCGGGGUGGAAAGGAUAGCAACUCAACACCAAAAAGUGGGAGAACAGUGGAUAAGAGGAAGAAAGAGAAGUGAAGAGAAGAGAAGUGAAUAGAAGUUGCUGGGAUGGGCUGUGUGUUCAGUAAGCAACGGAGGGUGAAAGAGAACACCCCCAGAACACGAGAGUGCGCCGAGGAUACAGAGAUACUCAGCCUAACAGAGUUGGACAAGUAUACAAGUAUUAUUG